rnacentral:lncRNA from 1 species
UCCUAUGUUGGUGCCAACUUUGGAUAAGCACAAGCAAGGUGGUGCCAAAGAGUCCAUGUUUAUCAGGACUCUUUCAUUCUUAUCCAUUUGGGGCGCCCACUUUAAUCCAAUUGGGCUCACACCGUAAUCUGAUUAUGGCACCCAAUUUGAUAUGGUUUAGGCAUGUGGACACUCCACAAAAAUCCUCCAAUGAGCUCUC